UAGAACGCUGAAGAGAGGAGCUUGCUCCUUCUUGGAUGAGUUGCGAACGGGUGAGUAACGCGUAGGUAACCUGCCUGGUAGCGGGGGAUAACUAUUGGAAACGAUAGCUAAUACCGCAUGAAAUUGCUUAUCGCAUGAUAAUUAAUUGAAAGAUGCAAUUGCAUCACUACCAGAUGGACCUGCGUUGUAUUAGCUAGUUGGUGAGGUAACGGCUCACCAAGGCGACGAUACAUAGCCGACCUGAGAGGGUGAUCGGCCACACUGGGACUGAGACACGGCCCAGACUCCUACGGGAGGCAGCAGUAGGGAAUCUUCGGCAAUGGGGGGAACCCUGACCGAGCAACGCCGCGUGAGUUAAGAAGGUUUUCGGAUCGUAAAGCUCUGUUGUAAGAGAAGAACGGGUGUGAGAGUGGAAAGUUCACACUGUGACGGUAUCUUACCAGAAAGGGACGGCUAACUACGUGCCAGCAGCCGCGGUAAUACGUAGGUCCCGAGCGUUGUCCGGAUUUAUUGGGCGUAAAGCGAGCGCAGGCGGUUAGAUAAGUCUGAAGUUAAAGGCUGUGGCUUAACCAUAGUAUGCUUUGGAAACUGUUUAACUUGAGUCCAGAAGGGGAGAGUGGAAUUCCAUGUGUAGCGGUGAAAUGCGUAGAUAUAUGGAGGAACACCGGUGGCGAAAGCGGCUCUCUGGUCUGUAACUGACGCUGAGGCUCGAAAGCGUGGGGAGCAAACAGGAUUAGAUACCCUGGUAGUCCACGCCGUAAACGAUGAGUGCUAGGUGUUAGGCCCUUUCCGGGGCUUAGUGCC
rnacentral:rRNA from 1 species